ensembl:lncRNA Gng10 G protein subunit gamma 10
CGGGGGGGGGGGGAGGCCCACAACCAUCUGUAAUGUCAGUUUUGGGGGACCCGAUGCCCUCUUCUAGCCUCCUCAGGCACUAGGCAUGCGCGUGGUGCACAGACAUGCUGGCAAAACACCCCUGAGAUAAAAUUAAAUUAAAGGCCUGCAAAUACAGCCAGUGUUUACCACUCUGUUGGCUGAACGUGUAUUGGUUGGCAGCUAGUGUAAUUCUCUGUGUGGAUUGCUUGAGCACACCAUUGUGCUAGUCAGUUUCUUAACCCUUGACCCGGUGCUACUCCAGGGGAUGCAGGUGGAUGCGGUAAACAAACUAAUAAACAAAAUGAUUUCAGAUACCCAGGUUUACAAGAUAAAGGGACAGAAGCACGGGGUACAGAGACUCGCCAUAAGGUGUAGUGGAAGGUGUAGUGGACUUUUGUAAGAGGCCGGGCAGGUUAAAAAAUUACUCCCAAAAUAAAAGGGUUUGGGGUUGAUAGGAAAGAUUUAUUUUGUCCUUUUGUCAAAGAAAAUGGAGACAAGGUGAAUGUAGAAGGGACAAGGGUUUGGGGUGACAUCUUUGGGUCAGGAAAAAAGGUGAAGAUGUGUAUAGAGUGCCUGGUUACGGAUUACAGGUCUUGGCGAUGACAGUCUUGUGAAACAGGAAGCUGUGGGACAAGCUGUGGGAAGUUGUGAAACAGGGACAGUGGACCGGGCGUUAGCAAAGGGUGAAGGAAGUGCUUACUGUCCACCAUGGAGCUCACCGGCCUGGGCAGUCCCUGGGCAGUCGCAACCUGGACACUGAGAUAGGGGGCCUGUACCGCUUGUGGUUCCUUUUUCCUUGCUAGCAUCUGACUACCAAGGAUUUUGAGGGCAGAAAGCUAAAGGAGUUUGAUCCAGGUAGGAGGUGAGCAGGAAGUAUGCUAGAAAGUAGGGGUGAAGUCAGAGACCAAGGUGUGGCUGGACCCAGAUAAGAAAGAGGGAGCAAAGUCAGCUUCUGGUGAUGAAGACAUACAGGGGACAGCGAUAACUAGUGGUCAUUGCGAGCUCGGCGUAAGAGAGUAAAAGGUUCUUGGGGGGGUGAUUGAAGCUGUGUUCCCUCUUCCCUCAUUUUGCAAAGGGAGCAGUUACGGGUGCUGGCUGGAGCUCCUAGCAGAGAACAGAGCUGCCCAGGAGAGAAAAUAGGGAACGAAAAAGAGUUGUUGAAAGUGUUCGGUACCAUUGGGCAUCAGACCUAGAAGGAAAACUGAAUCAAAUGCCUGCUCACCCUAUGGACACUAUAGAGGGAAGAGACUCUUACCUGCACUUGAAAAAGGAUUGUGGAUGAUCACCACACACACACACACACACACACACACACACACACACACACACACACACACACGGGUGAAAUUGGGCAGUACUUAAAGGGAGUCAUGUUCCAGAACUAGUCAGCUUCAUUUCAGGGCUUAGUCUUGGAUGCUCUUGGCCUGCUGAGAGAGAUCGGCCAGGCCCUUCCCAGGGACUGCAGAUUGCUGUCCAGAGGAAUCCUCCUCCGGAGUUGAGAGUCAGAUAACCCAGGUGGGACAAGCCAUCCUCCAUGGCAGGAGGCGGCUUGCAGGGUUCGAGGUUGGUUUUCUGCCUCCCAGAGUCUCUCCCUUGCCUCUGCUGAGGGUCCUGACCGACCUCAGCUUGUUUCUUUGCUCACCCCCACUUUACCUUUAUCACCAAGUCCUUUAUGCUAGGGUCUGGUUGGUCUCCUUUCCCCAGGGGUCCUGAGAGAGUCUCCUACUCCCCACAUGUAGAGUUCACCCAGUUCCCUGACACACAGUCCCUGGGCAUGAUUGGUUCUGCGUUUCUUUGAAAAUCAGUAACUUACAUAAAACCAUUAGCUCUAAUUAUAAUUAGUGUGAAAAUGUUGAGUUUCAAUUGAUGGAAAAAUUAGCUUAAAUGUUAGUCUGGUUAUAUUGUAUUUUAAAAAUUCUAGCUCUAAAAGCAAAUCCCUAAGGCCUUUCAGAAGCUUGGUGGCAACUGUAAACAUAUGGUAAGCAGCUAUAACAUACAUGUAACAUAUGGAACAUACAUGGAACAUGUAUUAGUCAGUUUUCUGUUGCCAAUAGCCAAGUACCACAGACAGAGUAAGAUUUUUAAAAAGUUUACUUUAGUUUAUGGUUCUAGAGGGUCCAAGGUCUUGGAGCUGGAGAAAUGGCUCAGUGAUUAAGAGCACUGGCUAUUCUUCCUGAGGUCUUGAGUUCAAUUCCCAGCACCCACCAAGUGACUCACAACCAUCUGUAAUGUAGUCUAAUAGAAUCCAGUGUCCUCUUUUGGGAUACAGAUAUACAUGCAGAUAAAACACCCAUAUAUAAAAAAUACAUAAACAAGUUUCCACCCUUCAUAGUGGAGAUUAAAUUUCAACAUAUAAACGCAGACCGUGGCUAAAACAUAACGGCCUUGUUUUAUUUAUUAUGACGAUGAUGAUGAUUAUCUGGAAUACUGUUGUUUUUGUGUUUUGUCCUAGGGACUGACCCCGGACCUCCCUUGUGCUAGGCAGCAUUCGAUCACUGAGCCCCACCCUCAGCCCCAGAGACCACAUUCCUAACCAGCAAGCUGUACUUCUGAACCGCACAGAAUAAUUCUGUCGCUUGUUCCGCACAGACUGGACCAAGCCCCAACCUCGUUCACACGGCAGCUUUAGAUUAUCAGUCUCUCAGGCAGCUGCAGAGCUUCAGCAGUACUGCAUACAGAAUGCAUGCAAGGACGCCCUGCUGCUUGGUGUUCCGGCUGGAAGCAACCCCUUCCGGGAGCCCAGGUCCUGUGCUUUACUUUGAAGACUGGUGAGUUGGGGUGCACUGUGUCAUCUUGGGGCCAUAGUGUCUUCAGGGAGCUUCCCAAAGGAUUUGGGCAACAGAGGUUGAAAAAGAUUGUCAGAAUGCUGCCUUGCCCGAUGGGUGCUUCUGGGCUGUAGCUUCCCUGCACGUCGCCUUACACACAUGAACUCUUUAACUGAGCUGACCAGCAAUAUUUCUUGACCUUAAUUCCCUCUCUGCCCUGACAGCAUCCCAGAGUUGUGGUCUGCUGACAGCAGCUGCUGGGACGAAGGACUUGACUGAGGAGCAAGCGAGCUAACUCGAGCCUGCCAUGGGCUAUUGUUUCUCUGUAGCAGCUCCCUAAAUAGCCCUGUUUUGUUUGUUAUGGUCUGUGCAACCGAGGACUUGGUCUGUGGGGUGGCCUUGAAUUCACAGAGAUCUGCCUGUCUCUGCCUCCUCAGGGCUGGGAUUAAAGACAUGUGACCCCAAUGCCUGGGUCAUAUCUCUGUUUUCAUGGAAGAUCAAAUGUAGCUGAUGGUCUACUGCUCUGUGUGUGUGUGUGUGUGUGUGUGUGUGUGUGUGUGUGUGUGUGUGUAAAGGGCUAACGAGUUUUAGUAGCCAAUAACUGAAGACACAUUUCUGAUGAUUUAUUAAUUAGGAUGACAUGAAUUUGAGUGUUUUGCAUUGAGGUUUUACAUUUCUAUAUUUUUAAUGAUUUAUAGAUAUGAAGUUUAAUCCACUAGAUAAAAAUGAAAAUUACAAACAUUUCUAUAGAAAAAAGUACAACCUUAAGAGUUAAAAAUUUAACAUAAACCAACUACAUAACAAGUCAGCAUUUGGAUCUAACAGAAAUUGUAACAGUAGGGAAAAGGAAAAAAGUCAGAGAGAGGGGCCAAGGCAAGAAAUGAAACAGGAAACCUCUAAGGCAUUUUUAGAACCAAGAACUCACAGCAAGGAAUAGACACAAAGCUGACCAUGAAUGAGACUCAGGAUGUCCAGAAGCAAGUCAGAGUCAGAAUAAAGACACCAGAACGAACACGGAAACUAUGAACCCACAUUCCAAGAUCUUAAAUGGCUUAAUCCAGAUGGUACCCCGUCCCCAACAGAUUCAGAAGGAAGGGUAAGUCACACAGGCAUGGCUAAUGCAGACUUUUACAACUGUUCACUCAGGAAAGCCAGCAUCAGGAAAAUAUUUUGUUGAUAUACCCGUUGACAUGAAAAACUAGUAUGUCAUAGGAGAUUUACAAAAGGUUUAUUUUCAGUGAUCAGCAGAACAGAACCUCAGGCUUUCUUGUUAAGUAGAUCUUGAAAUGAUUCAGAGCCUGGCGUUCUGAGGAAGGGCAGUUCUACCCAGUGACUGUCAGGAUGCCCUGUUUGGCUCACGAUAACAAUCAGCGGCUCCUUUGUCUAUAAACUGUAGGGCUCCAAACACUUUAAUUUUGGGGGAGAUUUAUGAAAGAAUCCUCUUUAUUAAAACCAUUUUAAAAGUAUAGAUCCUGUCCACUCUCAACGAGAGUGCAGGAGAGGUAGGGUAAGCCACUAGUGUGCAUGCCCUGGUUGUGGACUCCCUACUUCUCCCCCAGGCUGCUCUGUGUCAAGAGGAAGCAGCCCUUCCCACUAGACCUACUUCCUGCUUGGCUCUUGUGUAAGAUAUGGUGAAACCAGUAUGAAUCCAGCAGUCUCCACUUUUGCCUACCCACCAACCUUAAAAACUAUAAAGAAACUAAAACUGGGUGAGUUCAAGAGUGACCUGGCUAACUCAAGACGACUGUCUCAAAAGCAGUGUAGCCCAGCUGCCCAGCAUGUGCAAGGCCCUCACCCCGGACAUUCCCGUAUUUCUAGGUUAUCAGUCCUGGGACCAACGUAUUUCAAAUUCUGUAUUUACACAAUAAGUGAUCAUCCUUUUCACAUGUUUGUAAAAGGAAACUGUUCACGUUCAGUUCCGCUAUGAGAAAGGAGUUACGCAGCCAAGGGCACGGCAGUCCUCCACGAAGCCCCGGCCUGAGUGCUGUCUGUCCGAGGGCGUGCUCACACAUUCUAUUGCAUUCACGAGAUGUUUUCUGUGUUGUGCAUUUUUGGGGUCCUGUGAAAUGAUAAGGUUCCUUUACAAGUAAAUCUCACUAAAUUGAAAACCAAUGGAACUCUCUUCAACAGGGAAGAAGCUCUCUGAGGAACCUGUGUGUGCAUGGUGAUGGAUGACUACCGCCAAGUCCCAAGAAAACAGAUUUCAAGAGCCAAAUCAUUUUCUCUGUGGCCUGGUCCUAGGUCAAAAUUCUACAGAAAUCAAUGUUUUGUCUUAUUUUUUAACCUCAUUACCAAACUCACUGGGUGCAUCUCUCAGUCAAGCCUGUGCGGCCCUGCCUGGGAUGGAGGCAUGUUUUGUUUACUGGGUAUUUGCAUUUCUGGAUGGAAAUGUUGUAUUUCCGAAAACUGAGUAUUUGUAAUUUUCCUAACAUUUUUAUACUGUAAUAAAAAAUUUUCAUAAAAAUUUACAGUUACUAAAUUAGACAAAGUAUAAAUUGGGGAAUGAUUGAUAUGCUGGUUUCGUAAAGGAGGCCUUUCCAGUCCCAGUGAGCAAACGGUCUGACCUGGACGGGAAGCUGGGGAGCCGCUCCUUAGCACACGGAGCAUGGAUGUGUUGUUAGGUGGCCCUCCCGUGUGAAGCCAUUAGAACUUUCUUUAGUUCCUGUACUCUACAACUUAUAAUUGUGUCUGAUGCUUUGAAAAGUGUGCUCAUGCCUUUAAAAAUGUUUAAAUGUGAUCUACACUUAGAACGUUGCAAUUGGUUAAAAACAAAAUAUGAAGAUAUUAUAACCUAAAAGAAUUCAUGUCACACAUAUUUUAUUGGGGGUGAUGUGCCUUUGAUUUAAUUGGGGACACUUUUAGAAGGAAAGUUUGUGUUUGUGAUUAUCUUUGAAGAGCUUGGAAAUAAAAUUUUUGCCUAAUUCAUCAUUUUCCAUGACAACAGUAGUUUGUGUUUGGUGUGGUCUUUUGGGCCCCAUGGAUCUCUGUUUGCUGGUGAGUGUGAGUGCAGAAG